UUAGAGCCCUGCGUACCUAGAUCCCUGUGAACCUAGAUCCACUGUGUAUCUAGAUCCCUGCGUGCCUAGAUCCCUGCGUACCUAGAUCCCUGCGUACCUAGAUCCCUGCGUACCUAGAUCCCUGCAUACUUAGAGCCCUGCAUACCUAGAUCCCUGUGAACCUAGACCCACUGUGUAUCUAGAUCCCUGCAUACCUAGAUCCACUGCAUACCUAGAUCCCUAUAUACCUAGGUUCACUGUGUACCUAGAUCCCUGCGUACCUAGAUCCCUGCAUACCUAGAUCCCUGCGUACCUAGAUCCCUGCAUACUUAGAGCCCUGUGUACCUAGAUCCCUGUGAACCUAGACCCACUGUGUAUCUAGAUCCCUGCGUACCUAUAUCCACUGCAUACCUAGAUCCCUACAUACCUAGGUUCACUGCGUACCUAGAUCCCCGUGUACCUAGAUCCACUGCGUACCUAGAUCCCUACAUACCUAGAUCCACUGCGUACCUAGAUCCCUACGUACCUAGAUCCGCUGCAUUGGAAUGAUG
rnacentral:lncRNA from 1 species